AGCGAACGCUGGCGGCAGGCCUAACACAUGCAAGUCGAACGAACCCUUCGGGGUUAGUGGCGGACGGGUGAGUAACACGUGGGAACGUGCCUUUAGGUUCGGAAUAACUCAGGGAAACUUGUGCUAAUACCGAAUGUGCCCUUCGGGGGAAAGAUUUAUCGCCUUUAGAGCGGCCCGCGUCUGAUUAGCUAGUUGGUGAGGUAAAGGCACACCAAGGCUACGAUCAGUAGCUGGUCUGAGAGGAUGACCAGCCACAUUGGGACUGAGACACGGCCCAAACUCCUACGGGAGGCAGCAGUGGGGAAUCUUGCGCAAUGGGCGAAAGCCUGACGCAGCCAUGCCGCGUGGAUGAUGAAGGUCUUAGGAUUGUAAAAUCCUUUCACCGGUGAAGAUAAUGACUGUAGCCGGAGAAGAAGCCCCGGCUAACUUCGUGCCAGCCGCCGCCGUAAAAC
rnacentral:rRNA from 1 species